CCAGAGAUGGUUUGGUGCCUUCGGGAACUCUGAGACAGGUGCUGCAUGGCUGUCGUCAGCUCGUGUUGUGAAAUGUUGGGUUAAGUCCCGCAACGAGCGCAACCCUUAUCCUUUGUUGCCAGCGGUUAGGCCGGGAACUCAAAGGAGACUGCCAGUGAUAAACUGGAGGAAGGUGGGGAUGACGUCAAGUCAUCAUGGCCCUUACGAGUAGGGCUACACACGUGCUACAAUGGCGCAUACAAAGAGAAGCGACCUCGCGAGAGCAAGCGGACCUCAUAAAGUGCGUCGUAGUCCGGAUUGGAGUCUGCAACUCGACUCCAUGAAGUCGGAAUCGCUAGUAAUCGUGGAUCAGAAUGCCACGGUGAAUACG
rnacentral:rRNA from 1 species